UUAAGCGUGUAGGCUGGUUUUCCAGGCAAAUCCGGAAAAUCAAGGCUGAGGCGUGAUGACGAGGCACUACGGUGCUGAAGCAACAAAUGCCCUGCUUCCAGGAAAAGCCUCUAAGCAUCAGGUAACAUCAAAUCGUACCCCAAACCGACACAGGUGGUCAGGUAGAGAAUACCAAGGCGCUUGAGAGAACUCGGGUGAAGGAACUAGGCAAAAUGGUGCCGUAACUUCGGGAGAAGGCACGCUGAUAUGUAGGUGAAGUCCCUCGCGGAUGGAGCUGAAAUCAGUCGAAGAUACCAGCUGGCUGCAACUGUUUAUUAAAAACACAGCACUGUGCAAACACGAAAGUGGACGUAUACGGUGUGACGCCUGCCCGGUGCCGGAAGGUUAAUUGAUGGGGUUAGCGGUAACGCGAAGCUCUUGAUCGAAGCCCCGGUAAACGGCGGCCGUAACUAUAACGGUCCUAAGGUAGCGAAAUUCCUUGUCGGGUAAGUUCCGACCUGCACGAAUGGCGUAAUGAUGGCCAGGCUGUCUCCACCCGAGACUCAGUGAAAUUGAACUCGCUGUGAAGAUGCAGUGUACCCGCGGCAAGACGGAAAGACCCCGUGAACCUUUACUAUAGCUUGACACUGAACAUUGAGCCUUGAUGUGUAGGAUAGGUGGGAGGCUUAGAAGUGUGGACGCCAGUCUGCAUGGAGCCGACCUUGAAAUACCACCCUUUAAUGUUUGAUGUUCUAACGUUGACCCGUAAUCCGGGUUGCGGACAGUGUCUGGUGGGUAGUUUGACUGGGGCGGUCUCCUCCUAAAGAGUAACGGAGGAGCACGAAGGUUGGCUAAUCCUGGUCGGACAUCAGGAGGUUAGUGCAAUGGCAUAAGCCAGCUUGACUGCGAGCGUGACGGCGCGAGCAGGUGCGAAAGCAGGUCAUAGUGAUCCGGUGGUUCUGAAUGGAAGGGCCAUCGCUCAACGGAUAAAAGGUACUCCGGGGAUAACAGGCUGAUACCGCCCAAGAGUUCAUAUCGACGGCGGUGUUUGGCACCUCGAUGUCGGCUCAUCACAUCCUGGGGCUGAAGUAGGUCCCAAGGGUAUGGCUGUUCGCCAUUUAAAGUGGUACGCGAGCUGGGUUUAGAACGUCGUGAGACAGUUCGGUCCCUAUCUGCCGUGGGCGCUGGAGAACUGAGGGGGGCUGCUCCUAGUACGAGAGGACCGGAGUGGACGCAUCACUGGUGUU
rnacentral:rRNA from 1 species